UACGUAGGGGGCUAGCGUUGUCCGGAAUCAUUGGGCGUAAAGCGCGCGUAGGCGGCCCUGUAAGUCCGUUGUGAAAGUCAAAGGCUCAACCUUUGAAAGCCGAUGGAUACUGCAGGGCUAGAGUCCGGAAGAGGCGAGUGGAAUUCCUGGUGUAGCGGUGGAAUGCGCAGAUAUCAGGAGGAACACCAAUAGCGAAGGCAGCUCGCUGGGACGGUACUGACGCUAAGGCGCGAAAGCGUGGGGAGCGAACGAGG
rnacentral:rRNA from 1 species